rnacentral:lncRNA from 1 species
AUGAGGUUACGGAGGGAAAAAAAGAGGGAAAAAAACGAGAGAGAAGGUGCUAAAAACGCGCGUUCUUGCACCGCAGCAGAAAGGAGGAAUUUGGUGAACCGGCUGCAUUUCCAUCAGAGGGCAAAGCCUGGAAACGCGACGAUUUGGUCAAACACGUGGCUUAAAAGUUGUCUGGGGGCAGGACGAGGAUGCCAAACGCUGCUCUUCCCACCCGGGGAAGGUGGCGCCGGGAUAAUGGGAACACCCCGGGGCGGAUCGCGGGAGGGCGGCUUCGCCCCGCGCCGCUGCGAACCUCCGGCGACGCAGCAUGGCAGCGGCGAGAAGCCUCCGCGCCGAGGCCGACCGCUCGCAGCAUUUCCUCGCCGCCGCCUCCUGGCUCUGAAGAAACCCCGCGGGGCGAAAAUCCUCCGGGUUGAGGCUGUCGGUGGCAAUGGGCGAGCGGCUGCGGGCUCCGGCCGCGAAGCUUUUUGGGAAACACGAGGAGGAGGAGGCCGCCGGGGAGGAGAAAAUCCAAUCUCAUCUACAAUCUCUACGGAAAGUGUUGGCAGAGUUCCUGGAAUGGAGGGUGGCCGACGAGAAGCGCUGCCGGGACUACCUGGGGAACAUCCCCGCGACGCGCCCUGCAAAGCCCCACACCCGGUCAGGCCCGACCGCGCGGAUCCCGGGCAGGUUUGGAGACGAGCGAGGCCGAGCGGCGGCGCGUUGGCGGCGAGUUCGAGCGGCUGCGCCGGCUGCUGGACGAGAAGGAGCGCGGGGUGCUGCGGCGCCUGGCCGAGCUCGACGCUGCCUUCGAGGCCGCCCAGGCGGAAAAAGCCUCGCGGCUGGCCGAGGAGAUCGCGCGGCUCCACGGCCUCAUCGGGCAGCUGGAGGCCGGGCGCCUGCCCCGGGAUACCGUGA